CGAAGGAUCCAAGCGUUAUCCGGAUUUAUUGGGUUUAAAGGGUGCGUAGGCGGAUUGAUAAGUCAGUGGUGAAAGCCUGUUGCUUAACAACAGAACUGCCAUUGAUACUGUCAAUCUUGAAUAUGUUUGAUGUGGGCGGAAUAUGACAUGUAGCGGUGAAAUGCUUAGAUAUGUCAUAGAACACCGAUUGCGAAGGCAGCUCACAAAGCCAUUAUUGACGCUGAGGCACGAAAGCGUGGGGAUCAAACAGGAUUAGAUACCCUGGUAGUCCACGCUGUAAACUUUGAUCACUCGCUGUUGGCGAUACACUGUCAGCGGCUAAGCGAAAGCGUUAAGUGAUCCACCUGGGGAGUACGAUCGCAAGAUUG
rnacentral:rRNA from 1 species